AGAACGAACGCUGGCGGCACGCCUAACACAUGCAAGUCGAGCGCCCAGCAAUGGGAGCGGCGGACGGGUGAGGAACACGUGGGAACAUGCCUUUCGGUUCGGCACAACUGCGGGAAACUGCAGCUAAUUCCGGAUACGCCCUUACGGGGAAAGAUUUAUCGCCGAAAGAUUGGCCCGCGUCUGAUUAGCUAGUUGGUGAGGUAAUGGCUCACCAAGGCUUCGAUCAGUAGCUGGUUUGAGAGAACGACCAGCCACACUGGGACUGAGACACGGCCCAGACUCCUACGGGAGGCAGCAGUGGGGAAUCUUGGACAAUGGAGGAAACUCUGAUCCAGCGAUGCCGCGUGAGUGAUGAAGGCCUUCGGGUUGUAAACUCUUUUACCAGGGAAGAUAAUGACUGUACCUGGAGAAUAAGCCCGGCUAACUUCGCGCCAGCAGCCGC
rnacentral:rRNA from 1 species